UACGGAGGGUGCAAACGUUGCUCGGAAUCAUUGGGCGUAAAGCGCACGUAGGCGGCCAUGUAUGUCGGAUGUGAAAGCCCUCGGCUUAACCGAGGAAGUGCAUCCGAAACUGCGUGGCUUGAGUACGGGAGAGGGUAGCGGAAUUCCCGGUGUAGAGGUGAAAUUCGUAGAUAUCGGGAGGAACACCAGUGGCGAAGGCGGCCCCCUGGACAGAUACUGACACUCAGAUGCGAAAGCGUGGGGAGCAAACAGG
rnacentral:rRNA from 1 species